UGGGGUAUCGUCAAGUGGCUAAGACCGCGGGUUUUGAUUCCGCUAUUCGUUGGUUCGAAUCCAGCUACCCCAA
rnacentral:tRNA from 1 species